rnacentral:tRNA from 1 species
UAAACUUUAAGUUAUACAAACUAAAAACCUUCAAAGUUUUAAAAAAGCUUUGCUUAAGUUUAA